rnacentral:rRNA from 1 species
UACGUAGGGUGCAAACGUUGUCCGGAAUUAUUGGGCGUAAAGAGCUUGUAGGCGGUUUGUCGCGUCUGCUGUGAAAUUUCGGGGCUCAACCCCCGAACUUGCAGUGGGUACGGGCAGACUAGAGUGUGGUAGGGGAGACUGGAAUUCCUGGUGUAGCGGUGAAAUGCGCAGAUAUCAGGAGGAACACCGAUGGCGAAGGCAGGUCUCUGGGCCACUACUGACGCUGAGAAGCGAAAGCAUGGGGAGCGAACAGG